UAGGGAAUCUUCGGCAAUGGGGGGAACCCUGACCGAGCAACGCCGCGUGAGUGAAGAAGGUUUUCGGAUCGUAAAGCUCUGUUGUUAAGGAAGAACGAGUGUGAGAAUGGAAAGUUCAUACUGUGACGGUACUUAACCAGAAAGGGACGGCUAACUACGUGCCAGCAGCCGCGGUAAUACGUAGGUCCCGAGCGUUGUCCGGAUUUAUUGGGCGUAAAGCGAGCGCAGGCGGUUAGAUAAGUCUGAAGUUAAAGGCAGUGGCUCAACCAUUGUAGGCUUUGGAAACUGUUUAACUUGAGUGCAGAAGGGGAGAGUGGAAUUCCAUGUGUAGCGGUUAAAUGCGUAGAUAUAUGGAGGAACACCGGUGGCGAAAGCGGCUCUCUAGUCUGUAACUGACGCUGAGGCUCGAAAGCGUGGGGAGCGAACAGG
rnacentral:rRNA from 1 species